UAAAUAAAUAUAAUUUGAAAUAUUUCUUAUAUAAAUUUAAAGAGAUAAUCAAGGAUUAUAAAAGUUAUUAAUAGUCAUAGGUUACUAAUAAAAUAUAUAUAUUUUAUAUAUAUAUUUUUAAAACCUAAGGUAAACCUGAUAAAAAUAUAAAUUAAGUGAACUGAAACAUCUAAGUAACUUAAAGAAUAUAAAUCAACAGAGAUAUUAUGAGUAUUGGUGAGAGAAAAUAAUAUAGUCAAAUUUAUAUAUUUAUAAUAUAUAUAAAUAAAUAAGUAUUAUGUAAAUAAAUUAUGUAAGAAUAUAGGACAAACUAGUUCUAAGACUAAAUACUAUUAAUAAACAAAAUAAGUACCGUAAGGGAAAAUAAGUAAUUGGUUAUUUUAUAAGCAGUUAUAAAUAUUUUAUAUAAAUAUUAAUAACGUACCUUUUGUAUAAUGGGUCAGCAAGUAAUUAUUAUUAGCAAAAUUAUUUUAAUAUAAUUAUAAAUAAUUUGAAUAUUAAACAUUGUAUAAUAUAAUAAUAUAUAUUUAAUAUAUAUUAUAGUUAGUUAAUGAUAAUUGACCCGAAAGCGGACGAUCUUAAUAUGACCAGACGGUUAAAAACGGUCGAACAGGUUGAUGUUGCAAUAUCAUCUGAUGAGUCGUGUUAAGCGGUGAAAGACAAAUCUGGUUCGCAGAUAGCUGGUUUUCCACGAAAUAUAUGUUAGUAUAGUCUCUAUUAAAUAAUUAAUAUUAUUAUUAUAUUUUUUAUAUAAUAAUAAAGAAUGGUACAGCUAUAAAUAUUAUUAUUUGGGGAAUAAUUGCUAUUUUAUCAAAGAUAUUUAAUCUCGAAAUGUUUAUUAAUAUUAAUAGAGAAUCAGACUGUGCGCGAUAAGGUGAACAGUCUAAAGGGAAACAGCCCAGAAUAAGAUAUAAAGUUCUUAAUUAGAUAAUAAGUGAAAUAAAUAUUUAAAUAUUAUAAUACAAUCAGUUAAUGGGUUUGACAAUAACCAUUUUUUAAUGAACAUGUAACAAUGCACUGAUCUAUUUUUUUUAUAAAUAAUAUUUAAAACCAUAAUUAUUUUUAAUAAUUAUGUAAAUAAAUAAUAUAACGGAUCUUUUUUAAUUAUAAUUAUCUAACUGAAUAUCUAUAUAAUAUUAUAUAUAAAUAAAUGUAAUAUUAUGGUAGUGGAACAUUUAAUGAAUAAUAAGUAUAUUAAUAUUUACGGAUUAAUAUAUGAUAUAUAAAUUAAAUAGAGAAUGCUGACAUGAGUAACGAAAAAAAGGUUUAAUCCUUUUCACCUAAAGCAUAAGGUUUAACAAUAAAAGUACGGCCCUUAAGUAAAAUAUGAAUAAAAUUAUAUUGUACGAUAGGUAAAAUCUAAAUAUAUAUAUUAUAUCUAUAUUAUAUAUAUUAUAUUAUAAUAUAUAUAAACUAAUAUAGAUCAAGAAAUAGAUAUAUAUACAAAUACCGUAAUGUAUACCGACUCUGGUAUGUUAGUAGAGAAUAUGAAGGUGAAUUAGAUAAUUAAAGAGAAGGAACUCGGCAAAAAUAGCUCUAACGUUAGUCAAAAAAGAGUAAAAAAAACAAGGUUGUCCAACUGUUUACUAAAAACACCGCACUUUGCAAAAACGUUAAGUUAUAGUAUAAGGUGUGAACUCUGCUCCAUGCUUAAUUAAUAAAUAUGAAUAAUUAUUAUGAUUAUUAUAUUAAAUUUAAGUAAAUAGCAGCCUUAUUAUGAGGGUUCUAAGGUAGCGAAAUUCCUAGGCCAAUAAUUGUGGUCCUGCAUGAAUGACGUAAUGAUACAACAACUGUCUCCUCUUUAAGCUAAGUGAAAUUGAAUUCGCAGUGAAGAUGCUGUGUACCUAUAGUAAGACGAAAAGACCCUUUGCAGCUUUACUGUAAUUAGAUAGAUCGAAUUAUUAUGUAUUUUGUUCAGUAUAUUAAGUAAUAGAUUAUAUAUAAAUGAAAUACUUAUCUAAAUAUCUUAAAUAUUAUUUUUAAUAAUAUUUUAUAAUAAUUCUUAUCUUUAUAAUAUAUUUAAUUGAUAUAUAUUCUUAAAUAUAUAUUAUAUUAUAUAAUAUUUAUAUUGUAUAAUAUAAUUAAAGAGAAAAUCUCUAAUUGGUAGUUUUGAUGGGGCGUCAUUUUCAGCAAAAGUAUCUGAAUAAGUCCAUAUAUAAAUUAUAAUGUUAUUGAUUAACAAAUUAUAUAUUAUAUAUAAUAAUUAUUCACAUCUUUAUUUUAUAAUAUGAUUUUAAUUAUAAUAUAAAAUAAAGUAAAUAAUAGAAAAGAUUAUGUACAGUAAAAUUGUCAUGAAAACAAUAAUAUUAAAAAAUAUUAAAUUAAUAUAAUGGUAUAACUGUGCAACAAUUGUAACACUCACAAGUGAAACAAGUACGUAAGUAUGGCAUAAUGAACAAAUAACACUGAUUGUAAUGGUUAUUGAUAACGAAUAAAAGUUACGCUAGGGAUAAUUUUUUGUCCCAUUAUAUAUAUAUAUAUAUAUAAAAAGAUAAUAUAUGUAUAUAUAAUUAUCCCUUUUUUACCUUUUUCAAGGAAAAAAAAGGGAGUAAAUUGGGUGAAUUGCAAGGAACUCCUAUUAUUAUUUAAUAAUAAUUAAAAAAUAAUAAAAUAAAUAAUAAGGACAAUUUGCAGCGAAGCUUAUAAUAACCUAUUUAUUAUAAUAUUAUAAUAUUAUAAUAAAGAUUUUAUAAGAACGUUCAACGACUAGAUAAUGAGUUAGGUUAACAAUAAUUUAUCCACGAGUGCCCAAUAUUAAAUAUUAUUAUAAAUAUUUAAUAAUGACAUAGUCUGAACAAUAUAGUAAUAUAUUGAAAUAAUUAAUUAAAAAUAAUUAUAUAAACAAAAUUGAACAGGGUAAUAUAACGAAAGAGUAGAUAUUGUAAGUUAUGUUUGCCACCUCGAUGUCGACUCUACCUAUCCUCCUGGUUGUAAGUGCUAGGAAGGGUUUGACUGUUCGUCAAUUAAAAGGUAACGUGAGUUGGGUUAAAUACGAUGUGAAUCAGUAUGGUUUCUAUCUUCUAUAGGGAAUAUUAUCAAUUUAAAUCUCAUUUUUAGUACGCAAGGAUCAAAAUGAAUUAAUCUAUGGUGUAUCUAUUGAUUAAUAUAUAUUUAUAUAUAUUAGUUUAUAUAUAAUUAUAAUUAUAUUUAAUAUAAUUAUAAUGUAUAAUUAAUCAUUGUAGAGAAGCUAAAUUAAUAAAUAAUAAGUAUUGAAUGCAUAUAAAUACGAAGUAGUUUUAAAGAGAUAAUUUAUAAUUAAUUUUAUACUAAAAUGUAUAAUAGGAUUAAAUAUUUGAUAUUUAAUUACUAAUUUAAUUAUUAUUUAUAUA
rnacentral:rRNA from 1 species